UUAUUUAAGAGAGUAAAUGGAAUUUUUCUGUAAUGGUGGUAUGUGUAAAUAGGAAAAAGAACUUUAGACGUGAAGACUAUUUACUUCUAAGAUUAUAAUGUGUUGGCUAAAACACGAGAGUGUGGGGAGCAAACAGGAUUAGGUACCCUGGUAGUCCAUACUGUAAAUAAUGAAAAAGAUGUGAAGCAAUUCUAAAAGGUAAGAACUUUUCCGCUUGAGUAGUACGAUCGCAAGAUUAAAAUUCAAAAAACUUGGCUGUUCACUGUUUUGAUUAGAGGAGCGUGUCGUUUAAUUCGAUAGUCCGCGAGAGACCUUACCCAAACUUGAAUCCCUCAUUGACAGGUAUUGCAUGGCCGUCGUCAAUUUGUGUAUUAAACAUAAAACAAAUUCAACCCAGUGGUUUGUCUAUUGGAUGAAGUCAGGUCUUAUUGUCCUAAUGUUUGGGGAUUAGAUGCGCUACAUUUUUUUAUACAAUGGGAAACUUUGAAUGUGAAACCCAAAAAUAAGAGUUCGGAAGGUGUCUGGAAUAUAACGGAAAGUUGGAUUUAAUAGUAAUUGAAAAGUAGAGCGUUUCAAUGAAAUUUAUUCAGUGUUAGUACAAAUUGCCCGUCGCCUUUGCUUAGAAAGGUUGUUUGGUUGCCCCUCAAGAGGGUUCCUAAUAUCUUCGAGGUAGAGUAAGUCGUAA
rnacentral:rRNA from 12 species